ACUCUAGGGAAGGAGAGGAGUAAGACUGUGUGGAGGGACCGACUGCGCCACUGUCAGCUCCAGCUGAGGAUGAAGCAGGAGGAGAUGAAGAGGCAGUGUGAAUAUUUCCAACUGUACAAACAGAAUCAGCAGCAGAAGCUCAGGCUGGCGGGGGAGCGGGAGCAGAGCCUCCGCAAACGCAUCCGAGAGCUGGAGCUGGAGCAGGAGACGCCGGAUCGAUUGGCGACAGGUGCUCUGCUACGCACAGGGCUGGAGCGCUGUCCCCCUGGUGGGACCCCCCAGUUGAAUGAAGAGCAAGAAGAGAAGGAGCACAGGAAGCAAACUGCCUUGCUGGAGGAGUCAGAGGAGCGAGCCAACAAAAGCAAUGGACUCCUGAAGCAGGGCGCCCCCCUGGCUGAAACCCGGGUCCAGCCGCAGGCGCCUCCGCUGCCAAAUGAGCCUGAGGAAAGAUUGGGUGGGGUGGGAACUCAAAAGAAGGAAACGGCCUUUGUGGACUGCAACAGCCAGCCAUGCUCGUAUGAGGGACUGCUGGGGAGCCCCGUCCUUCCCCUGCUGGAGCUGAACUCCCAGAGCGUGGUAGAAAUCCUGCAGUCUCUGCAGUGUGACGGAGUGAAGGAGGUAACAACCACAUGAAAAGGUGGCUGUUUAAUAGCUGUCAAUUUACAUGCAAGUUAAUGUUGUCAUGGUGUAAAAUCAUUACUGGUGUCUAGAUGACUUUGAGGCUUUAUUUGUGUCCUAGAUUUGCAAGCAGAGCAUAACUUCCUUGUUCAAUCUCAGGUGAUCCCAAGUCUCCGACAGGUGGACCUACAAAGCAGGCUUCACUUGCUGCUGAUGUCCACCUCGGAGCACAAAGGUGUAACCGCAUCUGCUGAGACACAGGGGGUGGUAGAGAGUGACAGUGGAGCAGAGGAUCCUGUGUCAAUACACGAAGAUGGGAUGGUCAUUGUGUCGCAGUCAGAUUUGCUAAGGCUUCUUGGAUACAAAGUCCAGAGAGCCGACGUGUCAAGUCUCCAUGAAAUCCCGAAAGAGCUUAAGGCCCUUGUGUACGAUAAAGAGGAGUCCCUUCAGAAGGUGUCUGAUGAGAAUGUGAGACUGAAACACAACAUGGUAGAAAGGCUAGCAGACAGACAAACGUGUGAGAAGCCUGAAACCAAGAGGGAUGAGACAGACGAGCUGCAGCUAGAGACACCGAAGAAGAGUUGGGCACAGGGCAGCAAGGAGCUCAGCAGGUGCAAUGAGGAACUACGGGGGCAACUAGACCAGCUUGAAAGAGACUCUGAGCAGAAGCCAACUCAAGUGGGGCUGCAGAUCUCCCUGCAGAAGCAGAAGAUCCACAGAUUAGUGGAGCAGCAACUCGGCAACAUAGCCGUUUUGCGCAGGGAGGACCAGAAACCCGCAGAACUGCCACAAAAUGUCUUACAGAAGAUUGGGUGGAACUGUGUUUACCAAGAGGAGAGUAGAAGCAACAAAAAUAUGAGCUCUGACACCGUCUUUGCUCAGAAUAGAGAGGUUGGUCAGCUGAAGGAAAAGUCUUGCUCCCUUCUUCUGCGUGACAAGACCCAGCAGCAUAUACUAUUUUCUCACUUGGAGGAAGAAAGGCAAUGGGUUCCAGAAAACACUGUACAAGUGAAGGAACUUAUGACAUCUGGACUCAGUAGGAACCUGCGGCAGACCAGUGCCAAGGAUCGGAACAGAAUGGAUCAAGAGAAGAGUGAUGAAUGCUUAGACAGAGUGGACCAAGAGCUCACACAAAAGCUGGAGGAUUUGCAGGAGCCGAAGAUCAGGUCACAGCUGAUGUCAGAGAUGGAGGCACAGCAUACAAAUGAUAUUCUGAGAGGGGUGGUAACAGCUUCGGGGGUGGAGCAUACGGACUUGAGGGGGGUGGAUGAGACCCUUCCUGAUGAGAAAAUUCAGCUGCCAGGAGAGAUCGGGCACUUGAAGAAUGAGCAUACGGAACACCUAAGGAAGCACCUUACACUGCUGCAGACCUUCGGUGAGCAGAAUCAAGAGCUCUUUGUUAAAAAAGGUGAUGGGAUCCUUCUGGAGAGCAACACUCAAAACAUAGCACAUUGUCAGAGGAGUGGAAACAGCACCUUGCAUGGUUUAGGCCAGAUGGUGACAACAGGCAGUGACCCCUGUGUGGGUGGAGGUGCCGGCGCAUUGAAUCCAGCCCUUGGCAUCCACUCACAUGGUUAUCUGGGCAAGAGAAGAAUGGAAGUUGUUUGCCAGCGCCUUCUUCCAUGCAUGUCUACAAGGUGCGAAUGCUGGGAGAAAUAUGCAAACUCCACACACCCUGAGCUGAACUCAAAGCUAUGUCCACCAAAGAGCUCAGGAGCCAUGAGGCAACAGCUUAACCUGUUAGGCUACUGUGUCCCUCACAGUGACCCGUGGAAAGGCCUAAACUGUGAAUCAGGUUCAGAAGGUCAUAUGAACAAUAUUGCCAACAGGAAGGAAGUUGGUGUUUUCAUGCGUACAUUUCAACAUGAUGUCCAGAGAAUUCGUGUAGAGCUCACAUUGUUGCACGAGCCCCAAAAGCCACAGCAGUUCAUUAGUGUUAAAGAAACACAGUGGUACCGUCCAAGCAAGAUGCCCCAAGUAGCCAUGCAGAAGAGCCACACCACCAUCUUUUCAUACAGAACGGUCAGCCUUGCAGGCAUCUUGCAGGAGAAGCCCAGCUCACGUGAGGGCAAAGAGACCCUGAGGAAGGAGCUGGAAGCCACUGCUGCAGACCUCAGGAAGUCUCAAGAGGAGCUGGAAAAGGCGAAAGCAGAGGCACAGAAGUGGUACCGGGAGCUAGGCCUGGCAGAGUGCAGACGGGAGGAGGCGGAGAAGAAAGCCUCUCAGGCCUUGAACGAAGCGAGGAGGAUGAGAAAGUGCAUGAAGGAGGCAGAAGUGAUGAAGAGCAGGAGCGACAGCCUGAAAGAAGAGGUAAGUUCUCAAGUGUGGUCAGUUUCCUGUCGUGCUCUUUCACACAUCCUCUUCCAUCAUGAGAAGCUAGAGGGAGGAGGACACAUUGGCACCUCCUCCUGCACCACCUGCAGUGCACUUUGAGCCUCCAGACUUUGCCUGACGUGAGGAGUACAGAGAGGAAUUGGAAAAGCGCCUUUUGUUUCCCUCCUGUCUUCAUACACACACACACACACACACCAGGUGAAAAGAUCAAGUCAGACGACUGUUCAUGGAGUAUGAAUGUCAUUGUUCUUUUUGUGAGAGGUCACGAGACUCCGGUGACCUAAACUGACAUCCAGCGACAGUGACGCUGCUUCAUCACCUACACCAAGUGUCCUAGCAGCAGAUGCAGUGGGAGAACUUUCAGCUCUUUCUGAGCUCUUGCUGAGUCUGAGAUGUUGUGUUUGUGGAGAGCUACUUGCUUUCUGGGCGAAGCCUCUGUGUUUCAGAUGGGGCAUGUGAAGGAGAGAGUGUUGCAGCUGGAGAAGGAGCAGACUGAUGCUCUGUUCCUCAGAUCCCACCUGGAGGAGCAGCUGGCUCACCUGCAAGCCAACUUCGAUACCAAGGUGCGUCACGGAGAGACAGGGCCACCCCAAGCUUGCAGCC
ensembl:lncRNA